rnacentral:rRNA from 1 species
AACGUAGGAGACAAGUGUUAUCCGGAGUUACUGGGCGUAAAGGGCUCGUAGGCGGCCAACUAAGUCAGACGUGAAAUCCCUCGGCUUAACCGGGGAACUGCGUCUGAUACUGGAUGGCUUGAGGUUGGGAGAGGGAUGCGGAAUUCCAGGUGUAGCGGUGAAAUGCGUAGAUAUCUGGAGGAACACCGGUGGCGAAGGCGGCAUCCUGGACCAAUUCUGACGCUGAGGAGCGAAAGCCAGGGGAGCAAACGGG